UGAGUGACUGAGCUGCUACUGCUUCUGCUGCUGUGUGUGGAGUUGUGUAUCGCGAGCAAGACUGCGCGUACAGAAAGAGACAGAGAUAGAGCAAGAAAAUCGACGAACUGGUCUCGUCGUUUUAUUAACUUCUUUAUCUCGACUUUAACAAAAUCGUCGUCGUCGACGUCGUUUUGAAGCGUCGCUGUGCUGUGCGCGUAAGUGUGGGUGCGUCUUCGCUUGAUGGUGCCACUCAGUGCUCGAAAUCAUUAUCGACUAAUAAGCGAGAGUGCAGCAUCGACAGAGACCGUAUAGGCAGAUAAGACGACGCCACAUCGUGUAUUAGACAGCAGCAGGCGCGCGUGACAAAUUUUACAUAUACCAAGUCACACACACACACACACACACACACACACUUGUGUAUAUAAAUAUCAUUCGCGCGAACGCACACACGCACGCGACUGACUCUGUCGGAGCAGUCUAAGAAGUUUUCUGCUGCUGCUACGGCUACUGCUGACGCUGCCUAUAUACUGCCUGAUCGAAAUACUACUACCGCGGGAGAAAUAUAUUCAUCUCGGCAGUUUUAGCUUAUAUAUUCCACUGCUCGAAAUAUAGAAGCUAGUAGGUAACGCACAUCGAUCGAGCUCGCGCGACUCAUCUGCGUGUGAGUGUGUAACGUGCCUCUGUGCAGUCUCUCUGUGUGCGUGUGUGUUGCUAAACUCGCUCGUCCGUGUGUGUAUACACACACAUGCACGACACUCGCAAAGCAAAGUGAGGAAUACAGAAAUUAGCCACCGUGUGUAAGUGCUAAAGUUGAGAGCUGUAUAGAUGAAAAUCGCGACUGUGCGGGCGGACUUUUGAGGUUAGAAAGGGGCAGGUCCAACGCUUUUAUACCGAGACUGGUGAAUAAUUCGCGCGACAGCCAGUUCGGACUAUACGACAAAAACACAAUCGAUUCAACAAUUGAUUUACAAACUACUUGUGUGUACCGUAUAAAUAGCUGAGAAACGGAGAAGUAAAUAUGGAACGCUCGAGUCGAUUCGCAAUCCUCGGUCUGCUAUUUAUAGCAUGUACCAUUGGUGAGGUGCUAUCAGUGGAUUACACAGGUGAAACUCACGUUCGCGUUAAGCAGCAUUGGGAGAUAACCUGCAGCAAAGUUAAGGAUCCGAGCAGCAUCUGGUGGAAGCGCAAUGGCAUGACAUUGGGACAAGAAGAAUAUUCCACAGGGAAGAUCAAUGUGAAACCGCCAGUCGAGAAUGUCGCCGACAAAACGUGGUCCAGUACACUGAUUGCACAGGAAGCAACGGAGGGUCACGAGGGAGCUUACACGUGCAGCGACGAAGGCAACGAAACUCACCAUCUCACACUUAUCAAUGAUAUCUCGUUCAGAGUCUUACCCAAGAACGAAACCAACAAAGUCGAGCUUAAAUGUCCAGGAAGCGGAAGAGACGGCCAGUGGAGCCAAAAUGACAAGCCUUUGGAAACAAGCAGCAAUAUCGAAAUCAAAAAUGACGGUAGCACCGUGAUCGUCUCGUUCGACGCCAAAGACGAACAAAUCUACGGCAACUACACGUGCAAAGUCGGAAAUGAAACUGCCAAUUACCGCGUUGUUCGACAACCCAUUGUAUCCAUGCAAGAAUCGACCAAUGUAAUCGAAGGUGACAAGCUUCAUUUGACUUGCAUUGUUAAGACCGGCGAUCCAGGCAUGAAAAUCAAAUGGGAAUUUAACAAAGAGAUUUAUACCGGCAACAAGAACCGCGUAAAAUUGUCGAAAGAUGAGGAACACGGUUACUCCAACGCCGUAUUCAGUCUCGACGAAGUCAAGCAAGAAGAUCGUGGCAACGUUACCUGCAUCGCUUAUUACAGCGGCGAGGAAUCCGAUCCGAUGCACAUAGACACGGCCGUUACCUACCUGAGGGUCAAAGACAAAUUCGCCGCUUUCUGGCCGUUCCUUGGCAUUUGCGCCGAGGUAAUCGUGCUCUGCAUCAUCAUCCUCGUUUACGAGAAGAAACGCAACAAGUCCGAGCUCGAAGAGUCCGACACUGACCAGAGUCCCGAUACUUCAAGAACCGAUCAGAAGUAGACUUCGUCGCACCGGGGCGUAAUACGGGACUGAUCUAAGAAACCAUAUCAAGUACUAAUAAGCCAUCAGCAAAUAAAGACUCAGACAUAAGGCACCGAAAGUAAAGCCUCUACGAUCAGCAAUAAAGCCCAAGAAAAGUACAGAGAGGAGGAAAAGCAGUGUGGCGCACGCGUGAGAAAUAAUUUUUUUUAAGAAGCAAAAGCUGGAGUGGCGUUAGUCUUUUCUGUCACUUGAAAGGGAAAAUAAAAAUAUUCAAGAAGGGAGAAAGAGAUAAAGUAAGAGUCGGGAAAAAAAGAAACAACAAUAACAUCAUCAACUUACUCAAGUAAAAUGCAUUAUCGUGCAUAAUAAAAAAUAUACACAUUACUUAACUGAGCUAAUGGAGAAGAAGAAAAGGGAAAAAAAGACACCAGUAAAAUUGCUACUACUACUAUUGAUACUACUACUGCUCGCUGCUGUGCAUGCGAGUGAGAAUACAAAUAUAUAAAUAUAUUAGAAGCUUUCGUUUUAUCACUUUCAGUACUCUUACAUUGAAAUGCAUUGCAUAUAACUUGUACAUCAAUGAAAAUAAUUUUCCAAUGAAAAAAUUUCUCCUACAUAUAGAUGUAUAAAAUAAUAAAAAAUAUACUCAUGUGAAAAAAAAAGAAACACACUCAGGUUUUUUCUUCCGAUUCCGCUUGAUUGUGUACUAUAGCCGUGUAUGAUCAAUAAACGUGGACGAACUACAUCAGCCGUGGCGUUCAAGCAUAAAAAAAUACUGAAUGUAAAGCUAUUAUUAUUAAUAUUAUUAUAAUUUUUAAGAUUAUUAUUACUAUUAUUAUUAUAUAUGUAAUAUGUAAUUGUUAUGACUUUUAAUAAAAAAUAUAGGAAAUACGACGAAAUGAAGUACUGCACUGAUGAUAAUAAUCAUGUUAAUAUGAAAUUUAUUCUACUGUAUAUGGACAGAAGUACUAAGAGCAAAAAUAAGGAAAAUGGACUUUUGGAAAAUGUCAUUUUAUGUUCCUUACUAUUUAUCGGAUGCUCUAAGUACGUACAACGACUUCUCGGUAACUCACCUCUAUUUAAAGCUUUUUCUACUUGUGCCUUACCCGUAUAUUAGUACCAUGAUCUUAUUUUGCUAGUCAAAAACUAGGUGUAGAUUUAUAGAAGAAAAAAAUUAUGGAAUUUCCCUUACAUGUAAUUUUUAUCACUUCUAUAUACUCCAAUCAAUCAUCAGUUUCGAUUUUUAGUGGGUAAUAAUGAAGAUUCACCUGAACAAAGUGUCAUAUGUACGUAAAGUUAAAUGCAUCAAGCUUAAUUCCUAGAAUCGUGGAGUAUUUUUAAUGAGAAUUGAUACCAAACAAAUACUUUAUUGAUCUCUGGGAACUCGUAAAUAAAAAUUUUAAAUUUAUUCAUUAAUUUGUCAAAUGGCUUGAUUCAAAACUUUGAUUUGAUUUAUAAUGACUCGGUUCUUUUUUGGUAUUUACACAUUAAUUCUAAGACCGUGAAUGACAAAAAAAGUUUUCAAUUUUAAGCAUCAACUUUUGCUUUGUCACAUGUUAAAAUCUUUGGAAAUUCAAUAUAAAUUUUGACUAAGUUUUCUUGACAUUUCUCAAAGUAUUUCUGUCCGUAAAACUUUUAACAAGUUUGAGUGAAAUGAUAGAAGAAUCGCCUGAAAAUGCGUAUUCGAUCUUUGCAAAUGGAAUUAAAUGAUAUAGAAAAAUAAAAAAGACGUUAUAAAAUUUCAAAGAAGACGAUUUUUCUUUUUUAUUUGCUCACAGCUACUAUUGUAAUUAAUGAGUUAAUAAAUUAUUCUAAUAAAAUAUUGCAUUGUAAGAGAUGGGAUAAGUUUCCCUUUUAUGUGGUCCAGUAGCACAUAGGCGUUAUCAUUAUCAAACGAUCGUAACGAAUUUCAACUGGAUCUUUAUAGUUUUUAGGUCGUGCUUUUUAGACAACCGUGAACGUCUGUCGCUUUAGCUGUAUUUUAUUCUUCAUCCGUUGUUAUUUUUGUGUUCUUUUUUUAGAAGCCGAUACAGUACUUGUAAAACUAUGCGAUAUUUUACAUUUUAUGAAUUCUCCACAAUGUAUUAAUUGUACCGUUGUGUUAUGAUAAUUUUUUCCAUCUCAUGUUUGUUUUUAUGAAAGGAACAUUGUAAUUUGUUAAAAUAAAUGGAUAUCUUAUACGAA